CUCACAUUAACCUUCAGUAUAUCUUUCAGCUUUUUGUCUACAAUAUCAUUUGAUAAUGAACUAAUGCUUGCUUACUCAAAUCUUCAUUGCUUCAAGCUACUAAUUAUAUGGAGGACAACACCCAUCAUGCUUAUUCACUAUGAACUGUUUCUUGCUUUGCAAAUACACUCAGUGCUUCAAGCUACUAAUUAUAUGGAGGACAACUCCCAUCAUGCUCAUUAACUAUGAACUGUUCUUGCUUUGCAAAUAUUCUCAGCUACUUGCUUAAUGUUUCUAUUGAAGAGUAUUCUCAUUAACCAAAGAAUGUUACUUAAUGCAUCUCUGAGGAAAUACUUAAUAAUGAACUUUGUGUUGUUGAUUACUUGCACUUCUUAUUGGAUUAUUG